AUUGAACGCUGGCGGCAGGCCUAACACAUGCAAGUCGAACGGUAACAGGAAGACGCUUGCUUCUUUGCUGACGAGUGGCGGACGGGUGAGUAAUGUCUGGGAAACUGCCUGAUGGAGGGGGAUAACUACUGGAAACGGUAGCUAAUACCGCAUAACGUCGCAAGACCAAAGAGGGGGACCUUCGGGCCUCUUGCCAUCGGAUGUGCCCAGAUGGGAUUAGCUAGUAGGUGGGGUAACGGCUCACCUAUGCGACGAUCCCUAGCUGGUCUGAGAGGGUGACCAGACACACAGGAACUGAGACACGGCCCAAACCCUCAGGGGGGGGAGGAGUGGGGAAAAUUGCAAAAGGGGCGCAAGCCUGAGGAAGCCAUGCCGGGGGUAUGAAGAAGGCCUUGGGGUUGGAAAGUCAUUUAAGGGGGGAGGAAGGGAGAAAAUUAAAAACCUUGCCCCAUUGACGUUCCCCGAAGAAGAAGAACCGGAUAACUCCGU
rnacentral:rRNA from 1 species